rnacentral:rRNA from 1 species
GAGUUUGAUCAUGGCUCAGGACGAACGCUGGCGGCGUGCUUAACACAUGCAAGUCGAACGGAAAGGCCCUUCGGGGUACUCGAGUGGCGAACGGGUGAGUAACACGUGGGUGAUCUGCCCUGCACUUUGGGAUAAGCCUGGGAAACUGGGUCUAAUACCGAAUAGGAUCAUGCUCUUCAUGGGGUGUGGUGGAAAGCUUUUGCGGUGUGGGAUGGGCCCGCGGCCUAUCAGCUUGUUGGUGGGGUAAUGGCCUACCAAGGCGACGACGGGUAGCCGGCCUGAGAGGGUGACCGGCCACACUGGGACUGAGAUACGGCCCAGACUCCUACGGGAGGCAGCAGUGGGGAAUAUUGCACAAUGGGCGCAAGCCUGAUGCAGCGACGCCGCGUGAGGGAUGACGGCCUUCGGGUUGUAAACCUCUUUCACCAGGGACGAAGCGCAAGUGACGGUACCUGGAGAAGAAGCACCGGCCAACUACGUGCCAGCAGCCGCGGUAAUACGUAGGGUGCGAGCGUUGUCCGGAAUUACUGGGCGUAAAGAGCUCGUAGGUGGUUUGUCGCGUUGUUCGUGAAAACUCACAACUCAAUUGUGGGCGUGCGGGCGAUACGGGCAGACUAGAGUACUGCAGGGGAGACUGGAAUUCCUGGUGUAGCGGUGGAAUGCGCAGAUAUCAGGAGGAACACCGGUGGCGAAGGCGGGUCUCUGGGCAGUAACUGACGCUGAGGAGCGAAAGCGUGGGGAGCGAACAGGAUUAGAUACCCUGGUAGUCCACGCCGUAAACGGUGGGUACUAGGUGUGGGUUCCUUCCUUGGGAUCCGUGCCGUAGCUAACGCAUUAAGUACCCCGCCUGGGGAGUACGGCCGCAAGGCUAAAACUCAAAGGAAUUGACGGGGGCCCGCACAAGCGGCGGAGCAUGUGGAUUAAUUCGAUGCAACGCGAAGAACCUUACCUGGGUUUGACAUGCACAGGACGCCGGCAGAGAUGUCGGUUCCCUUGUGGCCUGUGUGCAGGUGGUGCAUGGCUGUCGUCAGCUCGUGUCGUGAGAUGUUGGGUUAAGUCCCGCAACGAGCGCAACCCUUGUCCUAUGUUGCCAGCGGGUUAUGCCGGGGACUCGUAGGAGACUGCCGGGGUCAACUCGGAGGAAGGUGGGGAUGACGUCAAGUCAUCAUGCCCCUUAUGUCCAGGGCUUCACACAUGCUACAAUGGCCGGUACAAAGGGCUGCGAUGCCGUGAGGUGGAGCGAAUCCUUUCAAAGCCGGUCUCAGUUCGGAUCGGGGUCUGCAACUCGACCCCGUGAAGUCGGAGUCGCUAGUAAUCGCAGAUCAGCAACGCUGCGGUGAAUACGU